AUGAGAUCAAAACUCCUAGCCUUGAUACCUACGUUGUUCAUUAGAGCGAUAAGGUCUCCUGGCCGUGGCGAUGUCAGCCACCAGGGUGCAGAGUGGAAACGCUCGCAUCUCCCGUAUUUGGAAGGUGUUACAGGUGCCGCAAC
rnacentral:ncRNA from 1 species